rnacentral:rRNA from 1 species
UCUUCCGCAAUGGACGAAAGUCUGACGGAGCAACGCCGCGUGAGUGAUGAAGGCUUUCGGGACGUAAAACUCUGUUGUUAGGGAAGAACAAGUGCUAGUUGAAUAAGCUGGCACCUUGACGGUACCUAACCAGAAAGCCACGGCUAACUACGUUCCAGCAGCCGCGGUAAUACGAAGGUGGACAGAGUUAUCCGGAAGUAUUGGGCGUAAAGCGCGAGCAGGUGGUUUCUUAAGUCUGAUGUGAAAGCCCACGGCUCAACCGUGGAGGGUCAUUGGAAACUGGGAGACUUGAGUGCAGAAGAGGAAAGUGGAAUUCCAUGUGUAGCGGUGAAAUGCGUAGAGAUAUGGAGGAACACCAGUGGCGAAGGCGACUUUCUGGUCUGUAACUGACACUGAGGCGCGAAAGCGUGGGGAGCAAACAGG